rnacentral:rRNA from 1 species
UACGUAGGGUGCGAGCGUUAAUCGGAAUUACUGGGCGUAAAGCGUGCGCAGGCGGUUCGUUGUGUCGGCGGUGAAAGCCCCGGGCUCAACCUGGGAAUGGCCGUUGAAACUGGCGAACUGGGAGUGUGGCAGAGGGGGGUGGAAUUCCGCGUGUAGCAGUGAAAUGCGUAGAGAUGCGGAGGAACACCGAUGGCGAAGGCAGCCCCCCUGGGCUGACACUGACGCUCAGGCACGAAAGCGUGGGGAGCAAACAGG